rnacentral:rRNA from 1 species
GACGAACGCUGGCGGCGUGCCUAAUACAUGCAAGUUGAGCGCUGAAGGUUGGUACUUGUACCAACUGGAUGAGCAGCGAACGGGUGAGUAACGCGUGGGGAAUCUGCCUUUGAGCGGGGGACAACAUUUGGAAACGAAUGCUAAUACCGCAUAAAAACUUUAAACACAAGUUUUAAGUUUGAAAGAUGCAAUUGCAUCACUCAAAGAUGAUCCCGCGUUGUAUUAGCUAGUUGGUGAGGUAAAGGCUCACCAAGGCGAUGAUACAUAGCCGACCUGAGAGGGUGAUCGGCCACAUUGGGACUGAGACACGGCCCAAACUCCUACGGGAAGCAGCAGUAGGGAAUCUUCGGCAAUGGACGAAAGUCUGACCGAGCAACGCCGCGUGAGUGAAGAAGGUUUUCGGAUCGUAAAACUCUGUUGGUAGAGAAGAACGUUGGUGAGAGUGGAAAGCUCAUCAAGUGACGGUAACUACCCAGAAAGGGACGGCUAACUACGUG